AUUGAACGCUGGCGGCAGGCCUAACACAUGCAAGUCGAACGGUAGCACAGAGAGCUUGCUCUCGGGUGACUAGUGGCGGACGGGUGAGUAAUGUCUGGGAAACUGCCCGAUGGAGGGGGAUAACUACUGGAAACGGUAGCUAAUACCGCAUAACGUCGCAAGACCAAAGUGGGGGACCUUCUGGCCUCACACCAUCGUAUGUGCCCAGAUGGGAUUAGCUAGUAGGUGGGGUAAUGGCUCACCUAGGCGACGAUCCCUAGCUGGUCUGAGAGGAUGACCAGACAGACACGAACUGGAACACGAUCAAGGGUCCUACGGGCGGCAGCAGUGGGGAAUAUUGAACAGUGGGCGCACUCCUGCUGCAGCCAUGCAGGGUGUAUGAAGAAGGACUUCGGGUUGUAAAGUACUUUCAGCGGGGAGGAAGGCGGUGAAGUUAAUAGCUUCACCGAUUGACGUUACCCGCAGAAGAAGCACCGGCUAACUCCGUGCCAGCCGCCGCAGUAA
rnacentral:rRNA from 1 species